rnacentral:misc_RNA from 1 species
AAUUCCCAAAAUGGAACCUCCUCAAUUCCUUGUUACGUUGGCACGGAAAGUGUAAUGGUUUGAGUUAGGAACCCAGCAGUAGUAGCGCCCUGAGAUCUCACAUGGAAAGUUGGUGGAAAGACUAUCUCCCAGUUGGACAGCGGAUGCCUGGGACUCGUUUCAUUGCUUUCAAAGUUCCUUUGCAAAAGAGUUUUGAAAAGAAACUUGCUCCAGAAGAAUGCUUUUCCCCUUUGGAUCUUUUUAACAAAAUCCGAGAACAAAAUGAAGAACUUGGACUGAUUAUUGAUUUAACAUAUACUCAACGCUAUUAUAAACCAGAGGAUUUGCCAGAAACUGUUCCUUACUUAAAAAUUUUUACAGUUGGACAUCAAGUGCCUGAUGAUGAGACUAUUUUUAAAUUCAAACACGCUGUUAAUGGGUUUUUGAAAGAAAAUAAAGAUAAUGAUAAACUUAUUGGUGUCCACUGUACCCAUGGUUUAAACAGGACUGGCUACCUCAUUUGCAGAUAUUUGAUUGAUGUAGAAGGCGUGAGGCCAGAUGAUGCAAUUGAAUUAUUCAAUAGGUGCCGGGGACAUUGCUUAGAAAGAC